CCGUUUGACAACAACGUUGCAAACUUCAGCAUCGUAGUAUAAUCCAUGAUCUUCAGUAUCUCUACUCAAGAUGAGAAAAAUUCUGAAAUCGUCGUGAAUAGAGACACUGGAGAUUAAAUAUCACACCGCGUUCUCUACGUAGAUCCACAGUUAUUAAGGGGCGGAGUCGUUAUCGAGAAUGGCUACCGACAGAGUUGUUAAAGCUAUGCACAACUACACCCAUCACAGCUCUACUCGAUAACAGCUCCGCUCUUUAAGCAUGUAUUUAGAGGAGAACUGUCGUUGAAUACGUUUACUGAAAGUAGAAUUGUUGACUCGCUGCAACAUGACUCGACUCUUAUAAAUCUACUCGAUAACAUGUCCACUCUAAAGAUUUUUAUUUUGUGCAUGAAUGACGUUUCUACUCUUUAACGCGUCGAGGCGGAUAAGACAGAUUAUUAAUGACAAAGGAGGAGACAUAUUGCGUUGUAUUGAUUUUGCAAAUUUGAGAGUAGGGCUGUUUGGGGCAGCGUUGUUUUUGAGCUAGCGGUAAAGUGGACGGUUGUCAUUCUGCCGAUUUUCUGCGUCGAACCGUCUGCAUUACAGCUCGCAUCUGUUACAAGUUUCGCUCUCUUUUUUCUCGUCGCAUUUUCCGACCGAUUCAACGGGAAAUUGAGCAAAAUCAUUAGCAUUCUAGCAACCAAUUCUAGCAACUCUUGAUUGAGAUCGGGAAUUAUUCGGUGUCAGGAGCGACGUUGAUAGCAUCCGCUUGCAAUCAGAGGAGACUUCGACUGAUUUACGCGGCAGCGGAGAAUUACGCGUUUCAUUGAUUUCAUCAAAUCCGAUUGAUCAAGCGACAAAUGCUCGCGAUUUUCCGGCAGCCAAUCGCGGAAUCGUGGACACGCGAAUCAAAUUAAUGACGAUCAAUUUUUCAAAUCUCGUUCUCAUUUGCCUGCAGCGAAAGCAAACUCCCUGAACCGUACGUCAGAAAACUAGCUUCAUUCUCAUUCCAACGCAACCGUCAGACUUCCUUGCUCAUGCAAUCUCCAUCAUUCCGAGACCGCCAAUAAUUUAAUCCCAUUUUUGCUUCGUACAGACCCACGAUGUGCGAGGAGCCAAGAAUCAAAUCUCCAACCCAAUCGAAAGCACUGUCCUUCGACAAGAGCUCCCGCGAUUCUUAUCAAACGUUAAUCAUCGAGAUGGUCUAUCGAGACAUCACACUAUUGCACGGUGAUCGCGCCGGUAUCUCGAAUUUCGUUGUAAUCUAGCAGAGAACUGAACGCCAACAAAGCGAUAAAGAAUAAUAAUCUUCUGCUAUUACUGCGAAUAGUUACGAUAGAAAAUUUCUUGGUAAACGGUAGAAACAGAUUUCCUCGUGUAUCGCGAUGGAUUAAGCGAUAGCGAUUAGUAAUAAAUACACCAAAGUUUUGUCAAACUGGUUGAAAACUGUGCGUAAAAUCGUCGGAGCAUCAUGUUUUGCAGAUUCUUCUCCGCUGCGAAGAUUCUCGUGCUGACUAAUUUCGUUCUCAUUGCGUCAGCGGUGCCAUUUCACGAUGUACGAGCGACUGACGAGCAAGUAAUAGUCAUUUCAACCGAAGUUGACAGCUCAUUGGAGGAUCGAAUGGCAGCCGGCAAGACGAAUCUCACGGGGCGUGUUUUCCUCGGGGAUCUGAGAGUUGGGAAUCAUGCCGAGAAGUUGUACACACAGCGGUACAGACCGGAAAGUUCGAGUCGUGGGGUGUACGUGAAACGAAAGUCAUUUUCAACGCCAGCUCUCCAGGAAAAUCGGCUCUAUCAAUUCGCGAUCGAGAACUCGGCUGAGCUAUUGAAUCUUUUAUUUUUUUCGCCUCUUCUCUCCUGAACACCGUGACAUUUCUCAUUACUUCAGCCUCGAAAAUGCAGACGGAAACUACCCAGUAACUUGACGCGAUCCAAACACCUUGAACUCUCCGUUUGUCGAAGGUACCUUCCGCCUUGCAGCAUGGACCACCUCGACCAUGACGGGGUUGGGGUCCACUAAAGAGCUUCAUUUCUUCAUACAUGUGAAUCUGUUGAUAAAAAUCCUCAUCGAGAACAUAAGAAGAAAACUCGUUUAUUGUUUCGGUGUUUUUUUCAAGAACGUAAAAGAAAACGAACUUUUUGUUCCCUCCUCAAAUUUCUCGAUUCAAUUCCCCUAUGGAAAAACUGUAUGCUGGAAAAAAUAUAUUGAAUAAUAUAGGAAAGAUGUGAGAUUGUAUGUAGCGACGAAAUAUUCUAUGUUUCGAUAUGCUUUUUAAAUAUAAGCCAACAAUAAGAGUCAUCGAUGAGAAGAACUGAUAAUCACAAAAAGCAUAUUUUCAGUAAUUUAUUCUCUAAAAAAUGGAAUAACAAAAAACGAUAUUUGAAGAAAGUUUAUUCGAAAAAAAUCGAAAAGGAGAAAUUUGACAGUUUUUGAACGAAACGAUUCGCGUGGAAUUCGCUAAUUUAUAACCCAUUUUGAAUAAUCUCAGUAAACAAACUGCGAAAUGAUGCUUCAAAUAGUAAUAUAAUAGCAAGAAAAUAGAAUUCACAUUAUUCGUCCCGAAUGGAUUUAUUCGUGUGCAGUCGUACCCACAUCUACAGACAGAGUCCAAAGGAGGUAAUUGAAACGAGAGAAUAAUACAAUGAACAAGUAUACUCCGAGUGUUAAUGUAUCAGAGCUACACUCGUUGCUGCCCUGAAGAAGCAGAACCACGGACGAUGGAAGAUACGAGUAGAACGAGAGCCACGAUCACGAAAUCCUAGAAUUAAU